rnacentral:rRNA from 1 species
AGAGGAAGUAAAAGUCGUAACAAGGUUUCCGUAGGUGAACCUGCGGAAGGAUCAUUACAGUAUGAUUAUGGGGGGGUUGGAUGCUGGCCCGUGAGGGCAUGUUGCGCACCCCUCUGUUGUUAAUCCUACAUAUACACCUGUGCACCUAUGGCGAGUGCCUCCCAUUUGGAGCCGUUUGAUGUCAAACCUACCUUUCUUUUUUGAAAGGGGGGUGAGGCUUGGACCGGGGUGCUCCCUCUUUUUUAUUACCAUCUCAGCCUGUUUGAACGCAUGUUUUAAGCUCUACGGAGCUGAAAAGUAAUAUAACUUUCAACAACGGAUCUCUUGGCUUUCGCAUCGAUGAAGAACGCCGCGAAAGUGCGAAACGUAAUGUGAAUUGCAGAAUUCAGUGAAUCAUCGAAUCUUUGAACGCAUCUUGCGCUCCUUGGUAUUCCGAGGAGCAUGCCUGUUUGAGUGUCGUGAAACCCUCUCGACCCUCCUCCUUAAAAGGGAAGAGGGUUGGAUUUGGAUGCUUGCGAUGAUGGUCUUGGCCCGUCGCUCGUCUUUAAAUGCAUUAGCUUGGCCUCUGGAGUCGGUCUGAUGACGGUGUGAUAAUAAACGUCUUGUUUUUGGCGCCGUUUGGGUCCGAUUCUAAUUUGAGGUAGCUUCUAAUUGGUUGUCUUUGCAUCUGACCUCAAAUCAGGUAGGAUUACCCGCUGAACUUAAGCAUA